GGGGGUUUAUUCCGUAAGGGGUAGCGGAGCUGACUGUAAAUCAGUUACCUUCGGGUUCGGGUGGUUCGACUCCAUCAACCCCCACCA
rnacentral:tRNA from 1 species